rnacentral:rRNA from 1 species
GACGAACGCUGGCGGCGUGCCUAAUACAUGCAAGUCGAACGAGAAUUUUUUACACCGAGUGCUUGCACUCACCGUAAGAAAUUCGAGUGGCGGACGGGUGAGUAACACGUGGGUAACCUGCCCAAAAGAAGGGGAUAACAUUUGGAAACAAAUGCUAAUACCGUAUAACCAUGAUGACCGCAUGGUCAUUAUGUAAAAGGUGGUUUUGCUACCGCUUUUGGCUGGACCCGCGGAGUAUUAACUAGUUGGUAGGGUAACGGCCUACCAAGGUGAUGAUACGUAGCCGAGUUGAGAGACUGAUCGGCCACAAUGGGACUGAGACACGGCCCAUACUCCUACGGGAGGCAGCAGUAGGGAAUCUUCCACAAUGGGCGCAAGCCUGAUGGAGCAACGCCGCGUGAAUGAAGAAGGUCUUCGGAUCGUAAAAUUCUGUUGUUAGAGAAGAAUAUGAGUAAUAGUAACUGAUUAUUCACUGACGGUAUCUAACCAGCAAGUCACGGCUAACUACGUGCCAGCAGCCGCCGUAA